AGUUUGGGAGUGUCUCUUGAGUCAUUUUGACAUCUAAAAAUGAGUUAGGAGUGAAUUUUGAGUCCUUAGAUCUCAGAUCUCUCAGCAGUGGGAGUGCAUGAUUCCUGCCUCAGUGUGUAAACUUCUGUGGGCUCCCAGCCCUCCUCCAUCUGCCUUCAGGGCUGGCCCUGUGGCUGAGUGGUUAAGUUCAGGUGCCCCACUUUAGCAGCCCAGAGUUCGCCAGUUUAGAUCCUGGCAUGGACAUACACACCACUCAUCAAGCCAUGCUGUGGUGGCAUCCCACAUGGAGGAACUAGAAUGGCUUGUAACAAGGAUAUACAACUAUCCUGGGGCUUUGGGAAGAAAAAAAAAGAGGAAGAUUGGCAACAGAUGUUAGUUCAGGGCCAAUCUUCCUCACCAAAAAAAAAAAAAAAAGCAUUAAAAAAAAUGUUCAUGUGCCUUCCUCUCAGCUCUGUAGCACUCCCAGAAAAGCCCACAGACCACAGCUGCCACUGGCGACAUGAGGAUGCUAAUUGCUGCUGACCAGCAACAACUUUGCUGUCUUCAUUGGCAGACUCUCCGCACUGGGGUUUUGGAGACCCCAGUCGUCUUCCUGUUCACAGUGGUCUUUAGUUAGUCACCUGGCUUCUAAUCAAUAGAUCCUAUACUGCCAUCAAAGCUGCAGAGAGGAUUGUCAGCACUUGCCUCCUGUCCUUCAGCUUUGAGGAGAAGACAUGUUAGAAACAGCAAGUCCCAUGGAUUCCUAACCUCUACUGCUCCUGGCCAUGAAUGGCCUGUCCCAGGGCAGGAGCCAGGCCCCAGGGUCGUACAAUGACCCGGAGCAUGGAUGCCUCUCUACAUGUUGCUUCCUAGGCAUCUUACUCUUCUUACUGGCUCUGACCUUUUCCCUCCCUCCUCUUAGCUUCUUCCACUCAGAGAACAGAGUUCAUACAAGAGAGUACAAGUUUCCUAUCAUCCUAAAAUUUCUUUGGAGGGAUGAUACUGGCCUUAAUCCCAUCACGAAACUAAGGCUGGCAUCGUGGUACCGAGAGCGAACAUCAUUUAGGAUCUCGCAGCACAGAAGGAAGAAUGAGAUGGGGGUCAGAGGCAAGUGCCAGCUGCGCAGUGAAGUCCAUCUUCCAGCUAGCAAAGGAGUGUCAGAUAAGAAGCAGGGGAGACAGACCUCUGGCGUAUGA
rnacentral:lncRNA from 1 species